AUUGAACGCUGGCGGCAGGCCUAACACAUGCAAGUCGAGCGGAUGAAGGGAGCUUGCUCCUGGAUUCAGCGGCGGACGGGUGAGUAAUGCCUAGGAAUCUGCCUGGUAGUGGGGGAUAACGUCCGGAAACGGGCGCUAAUACCGCCUACGUCCUGAGGGAGAAAGUGGGGGAUCUUCGGACCUCACGCUCUCAGAUGAGCCUAGGUCGGAUUAGCUAGUUGGUGGGGUAAAGGCCUACCAAGGCGACGAUCCGUAACUGGUCUGAGAGGAUGAUCAGUCACACUGGAACGGGGACACGCUCCAGACUCCUACGGGAGGCAGCAGUGGGGUAUAUUGGACAACGGGCGAAAGCCUGAUCCAGCCAUGCCGCGUGUGUGAAGAAGGUCUUCGGAGUGUAAAGCACUUUAAGUUGUGAUGAAGGGCAGUAAGUUAAUACCUUGCUGGUUUGACGUUACCAACAGAAUAAGCACCGGCUAACUUCGUG
rnacentral:rRNA from 1 species